rnacentral:rRNA from 1 species
UUUAAAAUUGAGAGUUUGAUCCUGGCUCAGGACGAACGCUGGCGGCGUGCUUAACACAUGCAAGUCGAGCGAUGAAGCUUCCUUCGGGAAGUGGAUUAGCGGCGGACGGGUGAGUAACACGUGGGUAACCUGCCUCAAAGUGGGGGAUAGCCUUCCGAAAGGAAGAUUAAUACCGCAUAACAUAAGAGAAUCGCAUGAUUUUCUUAUCAAAGAUUUAUUGCUUUGAGAUGGACCCGCGGCGCAUUAGCUAGUUGGUAAGGUAACGGCUUACCAAGGCAACGAUGCGUAGCCGACCUGAGAGGGUGAUCGGCCACAUUGGAACUGAGACACGGUCCAGACUCCUACGGGAGGCAGCAGUGGGGAAUAUUGCGCAAUGGGGGAAACCCUGACGCAGCAACGCCGCGUGGGUGAUGAAGGUCUUCGGAUUGUAAAGCCCUGUUUUCUGGGACGAUAAUGACGGUACCAGAGGAGGAAGCCACGGCUAACUACG